rnacentral:rRNA from 1 species
GACAGAGGGGGCAAGCGUUGCUCGGAAUCACUGGGCGUAAAGGGCGCGUAGGCGGGAUGGCAAGUCAGUCGUGAAAUCUCUCGGCUCAACCGAGAAACGUCGGCUGAUACUGCCGUUCUUGAGGGAUGCAGAGGAGACUGGAAUUCCCGGUGUAGCGGUGAAAUGUGUAGAGAUCAGGAAGAACAUCGGUGGCGAAGGCGCUCUGCUGGACCCAUAACUGACACUCAGGGACGAAAGCUAGGGGAGCGAACGGG